rnacentral:rRNA from 1 species
CGGCAGGCCUAACACAUGCAAGUCGAGCGGAUGAAGGGAGCUUGCUCCUGGAUUCAGCGGCGGACGGGUGAGUAAUGCCUAGGAAUCUGCCUGGUAGUGGGGGAUAACGUCCGGAAACGGGCGCUAAUACCGCAUACGUCCUGAGGGAGAAAGUGGGGGAUCUUCGGACCUCACGCUAUCAGAUGAGCCUAGGUCGGAUUAGCUAGUUGGUGGGGUAAAGGCCUACCAAGGCGACGAUCCGUAACUGGUCUGAGAGGAUGAUCAGUCACACUGGAACUGAGACACGGUCCAGACUCCUACGGGAGGCAGCAGUGGGGAAUAUUGGACAAUGGGCGAAAGCCUGAUCCAGCCAUGCCGCGUGUGUGAAGAAGGUCUUCGGAUUGUAAAGCACUUUAAGUUGGGAGGAAGGGCAGUAAGUUAAUACCUUGCUGUUUUGACGUUACCAACAGAAUAAGCACCGGCUAACUUCGUGCCAGCAGCCGCGGUAAUACGAAGGGUGCAAGCGUUAAUCGGAAUUACUGGGCGUAAAGCGCGCGUAGGUGGUUCAGCAAGUUGGAUGUGAAAUCCCCGGGCUCAACCUGGGAACUGCAUCCAAAACUACUGAGCUAGAGUACGGUAGAGGGUGGUGGAAUUUCCUGUGUAGCGGUGAAAUGCGUAGAUAUAGGAAGGAACACCAGUGGCGAAGGCGACCACGUGGACUGAUACUGACACUGAGGUGCGAAAGCGUGGGGAGCAAACAGG